UCAUCUCUUCCUCUCUUUCUCUCUCUCUCUCUCCAGCUCUGGUUGUGGCGAUUUGUGUGACUGCUUCAAGCUUGACGGAUGGAUCGUUGUCCAGCGCAGGCCGGCCGGUAAAAAGCUUUCACUCCUUGGCGAUUGGCAUGGCGAGCUAGGACUCAGCGGCAGUGGGCAGGUAGGUCAUCGCAAGAUCUUGAAUGCGGUAGGUCUAUUUGGGAGGUAAUUGCCGUGGAAUCAUGGUAGUGUUCUCUGAAUCACGGGGUUGUAGUUGUACUGAUGCAUAGAAUAGCUGCCACCUAAUGUUGUUUGUUCUUAGCAUUUUUAAUACGGGUCCAACUGGUAGCUGUUGAAUUGCUGAUAGCUAGUAAUAGAAAUCUGCUCUUGUCAGGCUGCCCGUCAGUGAUAUGUGCCGGAAACCUACAAGCAACGUGUGUCAUCCACCUUAAGUCGCUGGAACUUACAUGAGCAUCACGAGCCAAUAGCUAGGCUGGUGUCCAUGUCUCACAAGCCCAGGACGAUGGAUGGGAUCUGCAGAAUGCAAGCAAGUAUAAUGGUUGUGCCUCACCUCCAAGGAGUUGGAGAAGCACAGUCAAGUAGUGGUAGAGAGUUGUAGAAUAAUAUUAGAUUUUCGAACCCGGUUAACUCCAAAAACUAUGGAAACACUGAUAUGCUUGCAAGAUUGGAUGCGAGCCUCGGGUACACUCUCUUUCCAGUUCUCAAUUUUGUAUGAUUUGGAAUAGAAAACUAUUUUGUCAGAUCCAACUUCAAUCUAAUUUUGAUAAGUUCAUCAAAAUUUUGCGUGGAAGUGAUUGAGGAUUUUGACGAGUUAUCUGAUCCAGAAGAAUGACAUGCUUAAAUAAAGACAGUGCUUCAUAUACAACCUCUUCAUAUUAGAGUUUCGAAGUCUGCUGCUUUUGUUCAGACAACUGCAAGUGGCAUGGCUAUAGGAACAUUGAAGGUCGCAGAGUCUAUGUGGAGGAACAUUUUGAGCAGGGGAACAAAAGUUAUCAUAGAUGUUUGGAGUAAAAAAAUUAUUUGUUGGAUGAAUUAGCACUUGCUGCCUGAUCUUUUCUUAAUGUUAACUGUUCUGAAAUAGUGUCUUUUUUUUUUCUGAUCUUGGUUGUUGGUAGCAGGUUAGGUUGGAUUAGCAUAGCCUUUGUAUUUACGUACCACAAUGAAACUUGCCAGGGUGUUCAGUGUGUUUAAUAAGUUUGUUAGCUAGCAUGUUCUUAUGUCA